rnacentral:lncRNA from 1 species
CUAUAUAUCUGUUUCCACCAUUUUAUUGUACUUUGCUGUGUUCUUUGUUUUACCAACUACUGGUGGUGUGUCUGCAGUGUACUGACUUCAGGGAGUGAGAUAAUUCAGAAAUUGGUGAAACAGUUGGCAACUACUUCAUUGGAGAGAGACCACAGUAAGGCCUUUCUUUUUCGUCUUUGUUUGCACAUCAUCUUCCUGUAUAGAAACAGAUUUGAUUUCAUGUGUUUUUAUCAUUAUACUCAGUAUAUUUAAAUUCUGUUGCGUCUCAGGUUCUUCUUAAACUGGGAAGGAAGGCGUUAGGAAAUUUUCAGUGAUGAUAUUGUGCCACCACACAGCAUUAAGGUAUGUACUGGAUUAAGUGUAUUGUACUAUUGUGUGCUCAAUGGUCACAAGAAAAUGUUAGCUCUGUAAAUUUGAAACUAGCUUGCGUGUUUGGUAAUCAUUAUUUAAUUAGUAAUAUCCAUGUGUUUCUGUUGGUACUUUAUUGCAUGUAACUUGACAAACAUGCAUGUCUGUAUCAUAUAUUAUUUAAUGCACAAAUUUUCUGCCAGUUAGCCAUUGGUGAUGUGAGCUAAUUUUCUGAAAUCAGUAUAAUGGCCGCUUCUGUAAUAUCAUUGUUCAUUGGUAGCGCUGCUUGUGUUAGGUAUUCGGCAAUAUUUGUUCUAGGUAAUCCCCUUGUCUAUCUAUUAAACUAAACUUGUUCAAUUUUUGGGUCUGUCUGUAGAAAUGUUCUGUACUGAAGGACAAUCACACGGCACGAGUCUGAACCAAGCAGUACCAAAAUCGUAGUCUCAAGAAUCAUCCAACAUCUGCCUUCACUCACAAUACCUCAGUAUUGCAUUCUGCGAUGUUUUGUUUCGCAGAGAUGAUUUUGAUGCCAAACUUGCUGCUACAUGGAAUUGUUUCUCAGCGGACCGAAAGGUGACCUGGUGGCAUGUUCUGGCCAGGCAUUUGGGAGUAGGAUCUUUAGUUACAGGCUUACAGCAUAUUGUUCUAGAUGUGAUGCUAUCUGGUCAAUGAUGUGUGGGCUCAUGCACCAGUGACCCAAAGUUAGGUCUCGUUUGGAUCAUCUAGAACUAAACUUUAGAACUAAACUUUAGUCCGACUAAAUAUUUGGUGACUAAGCUUUAGGUGGAACACAUAAAAAUAUAGAAAUGU